rnacentral:miRNA from 1 species
UUCCCACAUGGCUGCAGUCCUGGCC